AACACUCAAUAAAGCUCUUCUUUGUCUUGUUCACCUUCCACUUGUCUGCAUAGGCAGGAUUUGGCACCACUGGCAGUGACACUGUAACAUUUUGGGGGCUCAUCUGGGAUCUCCAAAAGGGUGAAGAAAGAGAGGAUUAAUGAGAAAAACAAAUUAGACGGCAUAGCCUAGAUGCAGAAAGUCUAACUCCAAAAUUCAUGAACCUUCCAAAAUUUACCAUGUUGUCCCUCUUCACUUGGAACUCUAGUGACACACAAAGAUCAACACCUCCACAUUUGCCCCCAGUGAUAGGCCUUGGUAGCUUAACUGGUUGUGAUAUCAUAGGAAAUGACUGCAUGCAUGUAGAAGGAUGACAAAGAUGGAGAAUAACCAGAGUGCAUAAGAGGGUAAGAUGGAAGGUAUGAGGAAGUGGUGAUUACCAGAACAGAAAAGAGAGAAAAAGUCAAAAGGGAGAAAGGGGAGGAAAGCAAACUAAAUCUCAGGAAACAUUGUGAAAAAAUAGUGAGAAGUGAGAAACUCUUCCAGCAUAGUAACUGUAUUCAACAGGUAUGUCUAUGCUGUG
ensembl:lncRNA novel transcript